rnacentral:rRNA from 1 species
CCUACGGGAGGCAGCAGUGGGGAAUAUUGCACAAUGGGCGAAAGCCUGAUGCAGCGACGCCGCGUGAGGGAUGACGGCCUUCGGGUUGUAAACCUCUUUCAGCAGGGAAGAAGCGAAAGUGACGGUACCUGCAGAAGAAGCGCCGGCUAACUACGUGCCGGCAGCCGCGGUAAUACGUAGGGCGCAAGCGUUGUCCGGAAUUAUUGGGCGUAAAGAGCUCGUAGGCGGCUUGUCACGUCGGGUGUGAAAGCCCGGGGCUUAACCCCGGGUCUGCAUUCGAUACGGGCUAGCUAGAGUGUGGUAGGGGAGAUCGGAAUUCCUGGUGUAGCGGUGAAAUGCGCAGAUAUCAGGAGGAACACCGGUGGCGAAGGCGGAUCUCUGGGCCAUUACUGACGCUGAGGAGCGAAAGCGUGGGGAGCGAACAGGAUUAGAUACCCUGGUAGUCCACGCCGUAAACGGUGGGAACUAGGUGUUGGCGACAUUCCACGUCGUCGGUGCCGCAGCUAACGCAUUAAGUUCCCCGCCUGGGGAGUACGGCCGCAAGGCUAAAACUUAAAGAAUAGAGCGNGNGAGNGCGACGACGACGACGAGGAGGAG